ACCACUUUUGUCCAGCUUGAAAAUUUGCCAUUAAUGACAACUCUCUGUGCUAUCUCAAAGCCAAUGUUCUACACAAGAGCAAGAAUUUUCUUCUAGACCAAUUUCUUUUAGUUUGAAGACUAACCUAUUGUGUGGAACCGUAUCAAACGCCUUAGCAAAAUCCAAGAGGAUCACAUGCGAUGCAACACCCUGAUCUAUACCUCUAUUUCCUUGUUUGUAGAAUGCAAUUAAGUUAGUUUGACAUGACCUGUGUUUCAUAAAAUCAUGCUGAAUUUUGUUAAUAACAAUAUUCUCCCCAAUGAAUUCAUAAAUAUUAUCCCUUAAUAAACCUUCAAAUACUUUCCCAGCCACAAACAUUAAUCUCACAGAUCUAUCAUUUUCAGGCAAACGUUUUGAACCACUUUUGAAUAUAGGAACCACAUCUACCUUAAUCCAAUCCUCUGGUACAAUGCCUCAAAGAAAAGAAUCCUAAAGAUUAAAAACAGAGGUUCACUUAUUUCCACACUUAGGUCCUUAAGUACUCAUGGUUGAAUAUCGUCAGGCCUCGAAGCAUUGUUUAUAUUAACUUUCUUUAGUUGCUUCAGCACCUUGUCUUGAGUCACCAAUCACAUUUUUUCUCCAAGUGUUUUUUUGCAGAAAUCACGUGCAUAUUUCUUUCCAAAGUUCCCCGCUAAUAUAUAUUGAGGAAACAUAGUUAUUUAAAGUUCUGCCCUUUCCUGUCUUACGUAACUAACACACCCCGAAUUUUACAUUCCCUUGUAAAAUUUCACAGUUUAGUAAACAGACAAUAAAGCCUCCAGUCUUGCUGUUUCAUAAGAAUAAUAUCAUAUUCGGGAACAUAUGGCUUUAUUAAUUUUACUGGGAAUUGUAGAAAAUGGACAAAGGAAUUCUCCAAUUUUCCUAUUUUGGCCUACUUUGCAAUUUCCUUGUCAAUUCUCCACAAUUUCCAGUUAAGGUUAAAAAACAAACAGACAUAUAUUUUGUCAUUCCUUUGGACUUUACAGUAUUGAAUAAAAUAUUGAAAAUCUUGCAUCAAGCUAUUUUUGAGAUACUCCAUUCAUAUUUACAUUUGUGGAAAGAAAGAUAGAAACAUUGUUUGUUUUCACCUCCUCACUGUGAGAUUUCUCUAUGCCGAGUGUCAGGUGCAAAGGGCAGAGCUUAGAACAAUGACUAACAGGAGCUAAGAUGGAGAAACGUGGAUUUCUACCUUUCAUUUCAUUGUUUCAAACCUCAGAGACACGCAUUUGUUAAAUAUAGAGGAUACGUCAACAUAAGUCUUGAUUGUGACAGCUCCCCCCUUUAAAGAUAGUUAAUAUAAACCAUUUGUUUUCAGUUUAUAACCUUUUAAAUGUGACAUGGUAACACUGAUUGCCAGUGUGCUGCCUUCAAUGUGGGUUAUAGAUACUUGCUCUAACAUCACGAUCCAUUCAGUUACAUUUUACAACUGCAAUUCUAUGGUGUGUAUAAAGACCCCUUAAUGGGGUGUAUGCACAAGAAUUAGAAGCUGAAUGGUUUUCAAUAUGUUCACCUGAUUAUCUUUCUGUACGCAGCUUGUUUUCUAUGUAUGCGCCUUCAUAAUUCUCUGUAUAUAACUAAUUUUUCAUGAAGGCAUUUGCAUAUCUCUGUAAAGAGCAGGUUUUCUAUGGGUGCAACUGCAUAGCUCUCUUUAAACAGCUGGUGUUCUAAGGGUGUGCCUGAGGUAUCAUAUAUUACGCCUAUAUUAUAUUUUUAUAAUGCA